rnacentral:rRNA from 1 species
UACAGAGGUGGCAAGCGUUGUCCGGAUUUACUGGGCGUAAAGAGCGCGCAGGCGGUCGUUCAAGUCGAGUGUGAAAGCCCCCGGCUCAACUGGGGAGGGUCACUCGAUACUGAUCGACUCGAAGGCAGGAGAGGGAAGUGGAAUUCCCGGUGUAGUGGUGAAAUGCGUAGAUAUCGGGAGGAACACCAGUGGCGAAGGCGACUUCCUGGCCUGUUCUUGACGCUGAGGCGCGAAAGCUAGGGGAGCAAACGGG